AUUAUACUCCCUCCGUCCGGAAAUACUUGUCAUCAAAAUGAAUAAAAAGGGAUGUAUCUAGAUGUAUAUUAGUUCUAGAUACAUCCCUUUUUAUCCAUUUUGAUGACAAGUAUUUUCGGAUGGAGGGAGUAGUAA
rnacentral:pre_miRNA from 1 species